CUUAUCCUUUGUUGCCAGCGGUCCGGCCGGGAACUCAAAGGAGACUGCCAGUGAUAAACUGGAGGAAGGUGGGGAUGACGUCAAGUCAUCAUGGCCCUUACGACCAGGGCUACACACGUGCUACAAUGGCGCAUACAAAGAGAAGCGACCUCGCGAGAGCAAGCGGACCUCAUAAAGUGCGUCGUAGUCCGGAUUGGAGUCUGCAACUCGACUCCAUGAAGUCGGAAUCGCUAGUAAUCGUGGAUCAGAAUGCCACGGUGAAUACGUUCCCGGGCCUUGUACACACCGCCCGUCACACCAUGGGAGUGGGUUGCAAAAGAAGUAGGUAGCUUAACCUUCGGGAGGGCGCUUACCACUUUGUGAUUCAUGACUGGGGUGAAGUCGUAACAAGGUAACCGUAGGGGAACCUGCGGUUGGA
rnacentral:rRNA from 1 species